AUAAGAAUGUAAAUAGAAUUAGGAAAGCCAUCAUUAGAACAAAUAGAGCCAUAGCUU
rnacentral:tRNA from 1 species